rnacentral:rRNA from 1 species
CACCGGCAGCCCUAGUGGUGGCCGCUUUAUUGGGCAUAAAGCGUCCGUAGCCGGAUAGGCAAGUCUUUGGGUAAAUCCUACGUCUUAAGCGUGGGAAUUCUAAGAUACUACCUGUCUUGAGGCCGGAGAGGCUAGAGGUACUCCUGGGUAGGGUAAAUCCUAUAAUCCUAGGGGACCACCGAUGGCGAAGGCAUCUAGCUGGAACGGCCUGACGGUGAGGGACGAACCCAGGGGAGCGAGCCGG